CAGGCUUAACACAUGCAAGUCGAGGGGCAUCAGGAAGAAAGCUUGCUUUCUUUGCUGGCGACCGGCGCACGGGUGAGUAACACGUAUCCAACCUGCCCUUUACUCGGGGAUAGCCUUUCGAAAGAAAGAUUAAUACCCGAUGGCAUAAUGAUUCCGCAUGGUUUCAUUAUUAAAGGAUUCCGGUAAAGGAUGGGGAUGCGUUCCAUUAGGUUGUUGGUGAGGUAACGGCUCACCAAGCCUUCGAUGGAUAGGGGUUCUGAGAGGAAGGUCCCCCACAUUGGAACUGAGACACGGUCCAAACUCCUACGGGAGGCAGCAGUGAGGAAUAUUGGUCAAUGGGCGCUAGCCUGAACCAGCCAAGUAGCGUGAAGGAUGAAGGCUCUAUGGGUCGUAAACUUCUUUUAUAUAAGAAUAAAGUGCAGUAUGUAUACUGUUUUGUAUGUAUUAUAUGAAUAAGGAUCGGCUAACUCCGUGCCAGCAGCCGCGGUAAUACGGAGGAUCCGAGCGUUAUCCGGAUUUAUUGGGUUUAAAGGGAGCGUAGGUGGACUGGUAAGUCAGUUGUGAAAGUUUGCGGCUCAACCGUAAAAUUGCAGUUGAUACUGUCAGUCUUGAGUACAGUAGAGGUGGACGGAAUUCGUGGUGUAGCGGUGAAAUGCUUAGAUAUCACGAAGAACUCCGAUUGCGAAGGCAGCUCACUGGACUGCAACUGACACUGAUGCUCGAAAGUGUGGGUAUCAAACAGGAUUAGAUACCCUGGUAGUCCACACAGUAAACGAUGAAUACUCGCUGUUUGCGAUAUACAGUAAGCGGCCAAGCGAAAGCAUUAAGUAUUCCACCUGGGGAGUACGCCGGCAACGGUGAAACUCAAAGGAAUUGACGGGGGCCCGCACAAGCGGAGGAACAUGUGGUUUAAUUCGAUGAUACGCGAGGAACCUUACCCGGGCUUAAAUUGCAGUGGAAUGAUGUGGAAACAUGUCAGUGAGCAAUCACCGCUGUGAAGGUGCUGCAUGGUUGUCGUCAGCUCGUGCCGUGAGGUGUCGGCUUAAGUGCCAUAACGAGCGCAACCCUUAUCUUUAGUUACUAACAGGUCAUGCUGAGGACUCUAGAGAGACUGCCGUCGUAAGAUGUGAGGAAGGUGGGGAUGACGUCAAAUCAGCACGGCCCUUACGUCCGGGGCUACACACGUGUUACAAUGGGGGGUACAGAAGGCAGCUAGCGGGUGACCGUAUGCUAAUCCCAAAAGCCUCUCUCAGUUCGGAUCGAAGUCUGCAACCCGACUUCGUGAAGCUGGAUUCGCUAGUAAUCGCGCAUCAGCCACGGCGCGGUGAAUACGUUCCCGGGCCUUGUACACACCGCCCGUCAAGCCAUGGGAGCCGGGGGUACCUGAAGUACGUAACCGCAAGGAUCGUCCUAGGGUAAAACUGGUGACUGGGGCUAAG
rnacentral:rRNA from 1 species